rnacentral:rRNA from 1 species
UACGUAGGGGGCAAGCGUUGUCCGGAUUUAUUGGGCGUAAAGAGCGUGUAGGCGGUUAGGUAGGUCCGUUGUGAAAGCCCUCGGCUCAACCGAGGAAUUGCGCUCUAAACUGUCGUGCUAGAGGAACCUAGAGGUGAGCAGAACUGAUGGUGGAGCGGUGAAAUGCGUUGAUAUCAUCAGGAAUACCGGAGGCGAAGGCGGCUCACUGGGGGUUUUCUGACGCUGAGGAACGAAAGCCAGGGGAGCGAACGGG